UGCUGACAUGCACCAGAGUGGGCUCAUGCUUGACAUCUUGUAAACAGGGUUGAAAAGAAACCUCAAAAUAAACACACGUCUACAAAAGCUGCCCUCCCCUCCAAAAUCAGCACAUUUUGCACAGCCAGAGGUACCUUCCCGGUCUUCUGUCUGUUGGCAGUUUUACUUCAUCUGUUUUUUCUUCAGAUCACAGCAGUGUGAGUCUGACUGCGUCAGCGGAAGAGCUGCCUUCAUGGAGGUGCAGGUGCAGUCGGCCGUUGUGGAAUUCAUCCUGAACCACACUCUUCCACUCCAAAUCCAGCCCAGUCAUUGGAGAUGGAGGAGUCUCUAUAGGUUAAUCAGCAGGGCUGUUCAGCUGCAUGGCAAAGACUGCGUGGGCCCUGCAGCUGUUGCCCAGUUCUCUGCCUGCAUUGCUGAUUCGUGACUUUAGGAUGCGGAAUUAACUGCAACGUGUUUGUGCCCAGCCCUGGAACCUACAGCUUUCCUUGAGUAACUGCUAAGACCAUAAGUGCACCUGUUCCAGUGGAAACAAACAGAGUUGCACCAGGAAGAAAGUUUCCUCUGCGUGUUAGAUGAAUAAAUGUUCAGAGCACAAGCAAUUAUUAUUCCAAAGGAGCACUAAGUUUGUUCCAUCUGCUUUGAUACCCUGACCUUCCAAUGAGAUUUGCACAGUCACCGCAGUUAUUACCACUGGUGGAGUAUAGAUAGCUGCUUUUCCGGAGUAUUUGCUGCUUCCCAUUUUAUACGAGCAUUGCUCUUCUUUGGAUAGCACAGUUGCUGUAAGUCCAGCUUUUGUUCCCACUGGAAGGCAGUUUUUAUGUCAGCAGGAUGCAGGGGUUAGCUUGGCUGAGCAGGAACAGCCCACAGCAGGCUGAGCUCUGCCAGGAGAAAAUCAACAUGCAAACCACCUGAGCCAAACAACGAUGACCCAGGCUUUAGAAUGGAGCAUGUCACCUUGGCUAGUUAUUUAAUGAUUCAGGCAUUCACACUGUCUGCUUCCCUACAAGCAGAAGGGUCAGAGUAUAUAAGGGUCACAGUGUAUCAGCUAAGCUUGGGAAUGCUGCUCUGGGAAGACAGGCCCUCUGAGCACAGCAUCUCAACCUGUACCAGCCUUCAAGAGGGGACAGCACUCCCCAGCCUGCUUUAUGCCAUCCCAAGUUAGUCUACUUGCAUGAAAGCUGGAUGUCUGUAUACCCGUUAGGCUCAAACCCUGCGUACUGAGGUACACCUGACAAACACGUGAGGCUGUGCACGUUACCCAGGAGGUGUGAUGUUAAACAGAUAAGUAUUAGGAAUGGAUCCAGCCAGGAUGUUGAUGUGAGAGGAUGAUACGCUUCCCUCCCACACUGCUUAUCACAUGAGAAUGACAAUAUAAACACUUGCUCUUUAAGCAGCGGAAACAAGGACAGCUCUUAGAGGAGACUCCUUGUUCUCCACUGCACUGCUCUGCACUGAGAGGCUUCAGAGAUGCUAGCAGCUGGCGCUAUGAGCUGCUUUGGUUGAAGUAUAAAUGUUUGUCUCCAAAAGCAAGCACAGUGUAUUUGGAUGCUCUGCUUCCAAAAGUGCAACAGCUUCUGGAGACCCAGGUGGGACCCCACAGGUGACGGUCCUCUCGGCACCAAGUGUCCAGUUGCCAGCAGCAGGCUUGGAAGCACGCUACGUGUGGGAAAUAUACUUGGUGCAGGAAAGGGGAUGUCCUUAGCCAAGGCGCUGGAAAACUGAAGGAAAACAGAUGAAACUGCAGAUCUAUCAACAAAAACGUAAGCACGUGACACUUGACUUGGCAGGUCUGUGAGAAGGUCAGCUUCCCCGUGUUUGUAUUUCAGCCAUCAUCCUCCAUACUGGAGAGGCUUUAUCCGCUUGGCUUGCUUAAUUGCAGCACGUUUGACACGCAUGGAUAACCUGUGCAAUAGCGUCCUUGAUCCAGACCCCAUUUCCAUAUUGUAUCUUUUCCCCAAUGGCCUGAGGUGUCAUGGGUGCACCGAG
ensembl:lncRNA